rnacentral:rRNA from 1 species
AUACGAAGGGGGCUAGCGUUAUUCGGAAUCACUGGGCGUAAAGGACGCGUAGGCGGGUUGGCAAGUCAGAUGUGAAAUCCUACAGCUUAACUGUAGAACUGCAUUUGAAACUGCUAACCUAGAGUAUGGGAGGGGGAGAUGGAAUUAGUGGUGUAGGGGUAAAAUCCGUAGAUAUCACUAGGAAUACCGAAAGCGAAGGCGAUCUCCUGGAACAUAACUGACGCUAAGGCGUGAAAGCGUGGGGAGCAAACAGGAUUAGAAACCCCAGUAGUCC